rnacentral:rRNA from 1 species
AUGAUGUCGAGGUCCUACACCAACCUGCUCGACCUGGCGGCGGGGAACUUCGCGGCGCUCGGCCCGGCCGGCGGCGGGAGGCGCCGGUCGGGGUCGUUCGGGUCGAGGCGGAUGCCGCGGGUCAUGACGGUGCCCGGCACGCUGUCGGAGCUGGACGACGAGGACGACGAGCGGGCCGCCACCAGCAGCGUCGCCUCCGAUGUGCCCUCCUCCGCCAUCUGCGAGCGCCUCAUCGUCGUCGCCAACCAGCUCCCCGUCGUCGCGCGCCGCCGCCCCGACGGCCGCGGCUGGGUCUUCUCCUGGGACGACGACUCGCUCCUCCUCCGCCUCCGCGACGGCGUCCCCGACGAGAUGGAGGUGCUCUUCAUCGGCACCCUCCGCGCCGACGUGCCCGCCGCCGAGCAGGACGAGGUCUCGCAGACCCUCAUCGACGGCUUCCGCUGCGCCCCCGUCUUCCUCCCCGCCGACCUCUACGAUCGAUUUUACCAGAACUUCUGCAAGGGCUACCUCUGGCCGCUCUUCCAUUACAUGCUCCCCUUCGCCACCGCUCAAUCUCCCAAUGACAACGGUGCAUCUGCCGGUGGUCGGUUUGAGCGCGCCUCAUGGGAGGCCUAUGUCCUCGCCAACAAGCACUUCUUCGAGAAGAUCGUUGAGGUCAUCAACCCGGAGGACGACUAUGUUUGGGUCCAUGAUUACCACCUCAUGGCGCUGCCCACCUUCCUCCGCCGCCGCUUCAAUCGCCUCCGCAUCGGAUUCUUCCUCCACAGCCCAUUCCCCUCAUCAGAGAUAUACCGAUCCCUCCCUGUCAGAGAGGAGAUCCUCAGGACUAUGCUCAACUGUGAUCUCAUUGGAUUCCACACAUUCGAUUAUGCCAGGCACUUUCUGUCUUGCUGUAGUAGGAUGCUGGGGAUAGAGUACCAGUCAAAGCGUGGAUAUAUUGGUCUGGAUUACUAUGGUCGCACUGUUGGGAUCAAGAUCAUGCCAGUGGGAAUCCAUAUGGGUCAAUUGCAGUCAGUGCUGCGGUUACCUGAAAUGCAGCAGAAGGUUGCUGAGCUGCGGCAGCAAUUUGAGGGCAAGACUGUGUUGCUUGGUGUGGAUGACACAGAUAUCUUUAAAGGCAUCAAUCUGAAGCUUCUUGCAUUUGAGUAUAUGUUGAAGACACAUCCUAAGUGGCGGGGCAGGGCUGUGUUAGUACAGAUUGCUAACCCAGCACGUGGGAAGGGAAAGGAUAUUGAGUCCAUUCGGGCUGAGAUUCAGGAUAGUUGUGAGAGGAUUAACAGAGAGUUUGGCCAGUCCGGGUACAGCCCAAUUGUUCUCAUUGAUCGGAAUGUCCCAAGUGUGGAGAAGCUUGCAUAUUAUACGGUCGCUGAGUGUGUCGUGGUGACGGCUGUGAGGGAUGGGAUGAAUUUGACCCCAUAUGAGUAUGUUGUCUGUCGACAGGGCAUACCUAGCUCUGAGUCUGCACCUGAGGUGAGUGGGCCACGCAAGAGCAUGCUAGUUGUCUCGGAAUUUAUUGGGUGCUCACCUUCACUGAGUGGUGCCAUUCGUAUUAACCCAUGGAAUGUUGAAUCAACGGCGGAGUCACUAAAUGAGGCCAUAUCAAUGUCAGAGCGUGACAAGGAGCUGAGGCACGAAAAACAUUACCGCUAUGUAAGCACACAUGACGUUGCAUAUUGGUCAAGGAGCUUUAUCCAGGACCUGGAGAGGGCUUGCAAGGAUCAUUUCAGGAAGCCAUGUUGGGGCAUUGGAUUGGGAUUUGGAUUCAGGGUGGUGGCACUAGACCCAAAUUUCUCAAAGCUUAGUUUUGAUUCAAUUAUAAUGUCUUAUGGGAGAUCAAAGAGUAGAGCUAUAUUUCUUGACUAUGAUGGUACAUUGGUGCCACAGGCUUCUCUCUACCAGAAACCGAGUGAAGAAUUAGUAAGCAUCAUUAAUACCCUAUGCUCGGAUAAGAACAACAUCGUCUUUAUUGUCAGUGGAAGAAGCAAGAAUAGCUUGGGAUCAAUGUUCUCCUCAUGUCCAAUUCUAGGCAUCGCGGCAGAGCAUGGCUAUUUCUUAAGGUGGACAAGAGAUGAAGAAUGGCAAACCAGUACCCAGUCCCCAGAUAUUGGAUGGAUGCAGAUGGCCGAGCCAGUGAUGAAUCUUUAUACAGAAGCAACUGAUGGAUCCUACAUUGAAACCAAAGAGACUGCUUUGGUGUGGCACCAUAGGGAUGCUGACCAAGGCUUUGCGUCUUCUCAGGCAAAGGAGAUGCUUGAUCACCUGGAAAGUGUACUAGCAAAUGAAGCAGUCUCAGUCAAGAGCGGCCAGUUCAUUGUUGAAGUCAAACCUCAGGGUGUUAGCAAAGGUCUUAUAGCUGAGAAGAUACUUGCAUCAAUGAAGGAGAAAGGUCAACAGGCAGAUUUUGUUUUAUGCAUUGGUGAUGAUAGAUCCGAUGAGGAUAUGUUUGAAAAUAUUGCGGAUGCCAUGAAAAAGGGCAUUGUUGCUCCAAAAACACCACUGUUUGCAUGUACUGUGGGGCAGAAACCGAGCAAAGCCAAGUUCUACCUGGACGAUACAUAUGAAGUAGUCAGUAUGCUGAGUGCACUAGCAGAAGUUUCAGAACCAGACCCAACGGCAGGCUUGACAGAUGACUUGGCUACAUCAGUCUCCUCGUUAGACAUCGGUGAUGAACAAAUACAGUUCAGUAAUACAAGGAUAGAAGGAUCUUAG